UACAGAGGUCCCAAGCGUUGUUCGGAUUCACUGGGCGUAAAGGGUGCGUAGGCGGUCGGGUAAGUCUGAUGUGAAAUCUCACAGCUUAACUGUGAAACUGCAUUGGAUACUAUUCGGCUUGAGAGUUGGAGGGGGGACUGGAAUUCUUGGUGUAGCAGUGAAAUGCGUAGAUAUCGGGAGGAACACCAGUGGCGAAGGCGGCCUUCUGGACCAAUACUGACGCUCAUGCACGAAAGCGUGGGGAGCAAACAGG
rnacentral:rRNA from 1 species